ensembl:lncRNA
AUUUGGGGGCAAGGCACAUGCAGGGGUCAUGUCUCCCGUUCUAUCCCUCACAGUCCUGCUGGACCUGGCUCGUUGGCUAUCUGCACAGCUCACCCCUCCCCACCCAGAGUGGGAGCUCCCUCCCAGCAACCAUCUUUCCUCCACAUGUUCCAGCUUAAGAGCCUGGAAGUAGGAGUCCAGCAGGAGUGUCACCCCGACCUAUGCAAGGCCAAUCAGAUUCUCUCUAACACUUUUCAGGAUUUCCAGGCAGCUGGAUGAUGUCAGAGGGUGUACUCACCUCUUGCACUGUGAGGAACUGAGUGAGGAGAGCUAGACUGUGGAAAGGGGAGAAGAGGCCAUGUACCCUUCCCAUUUCCAAACCCUGAAGAAGCCUCAUCACUCUCCUACUUCAGUUUCCUGGGACACAUUUUUCAUUUCCUCAUAGUUUCUGGUUCUUAGAACAAAAAGCACCUAUUAUGUGCCAGCAGUGACUAUAAGACAUAGCCCCUCCCCUCACAAAAGUACAAUUUUCUUACAAUACUGUAAGAAAAAUUCAUCAUACAGUUUAAAGAAGAAAAAAAAAGGUCAAAAGUUAAGAAUAGGCAAUUCACCAUCAAGGAAUGACAGGUGGCCAGCUAAGAGUAGCUUGACUUUACUUGGGUUCAGGGAAUUUCUGAUUAAACAGCAAUAGGACUUCCCUGGCGUUCCAAUGAUUGAGACUCUGCACUUCUACCUGCAGGGGGCACAGGUUUGAUCCUUGGUUGGGGAAGUUCCACAUACUGCACAGUGUAGCAAGUAAAUAAAUAAAUAAACAGCAAGCUACUACUAGCCACCUAUCUGCUUGGCAAAUAUUUUAAAGUUUGAUACUAUCAGAAAUGGGAAGCGCAUGAAGAAAGGGGGACACCUUUUCUUCACCAUUUCUUCUGUUGAGAAUGUGACAACUAGUAGGGCCACUUUGGAAAGCAAUUUGGCCAAAUUGAUUUAUUAAUAAAUCUAAAAAUGUGCAUACUCCCAAAGGCAACGUGGUAUCCUGGAUUGGAUGAUGGAACAGAUAAAGGACAUUAGUGGAAAAGCCAGUGCUACGGACUGAAUUGUGUCCCCUCCUAAAUUCAUCUGUUGAAGACCUAACCUCCAGUGUGACUGUGUAUGGAUACAACCUUGAGAGAGGUGUGCACAGAAGAAAAGCCAUCUGAAGAUGCAAUGAGAAGGUGGCCGUCUGCAAGCCCAGGAGAGAGACCUCACCAAACACCAACCCUGGAGGCGCCCUGAUCUCAGACUUCCAGCCUUCAGAACUGUGAGAAAAGAAAUGUAUGUUGCUUAAGUCACCUAAAUCUAUGAUAUUCUAUUAUGGCAGCCUGAGAAGAUAAUACAACUAAUGGAAUUCAAAUAGGGACCUCGCUGGUGGCCCAGUGGCUAAGACUCCACACUCCUAAUGCAAGGGACCCAGGUUCCAUCCCUGGUCAGGGGACUAGAUCCCACAAGAGUUUGCAUGCCCCAAAUGAAAAGCCUGCAUGCCACAACUAAAAAGAUCCCGGGUGCUACACUAAGACCUGGUGCAGCCACAUAAAUAAAUAUUUUUUUUUUAAAAAAAAGGGAAGAAAUCCAACUAAAGCCUGGAGUUUAGUUCACAGUAAUAUGCAAAUGUUGGGUUUCUUGGUCUUGAUCCAUGUACCAUGAUAAUGUAAGAUAAUAACAUUAAAGGAAACUGGGUGAAGGAUAUAUGGGGACUGUCAAUACUCUUACAACUUUUCUGUAAAUCUAAAAUUGUUCCAAAUUUUUUUUUAAUUUUAUUUGCAAAAAUGCCCAUAUCCUCUGAUCCAGCAACUGUAUACUAGAGAAACGUGCAUGUGCAGGAAUCAUGAAUAAAGGGUGUUCCUUGCAGCAUGGCAGGUAAUGACAACUCAGGAAUUACCUAACUGUCCUUUGGUAGGGAAAGAGCUAAAUAAGCCAGAGAAUGUUCAUGCUAUAAAUAUUAUGUGGCAGUAAAAAAAAAAAAAUGAGGUAAAGCUAUGUGUAUAAAAAUAAUAAAAGUAAGACACAGAGGAUUAAGUUAUUCAAUAAAAUAUUAUUAUGAGACAAAUGGGAUGAGUAGGAAGAGCUGGAGCUGUGGGGAGGCUACUGGGGCUGACUUAUGGGCAGGUGGGCAACUCUACCCCCUUGGGCACUCAGCACUCUCUGCCCAUUGGGCAUGCUUCCUCCUGUCUAUUUAUCUGUUUUCUUUCUUCUCCCUAACUGUUCACUAAAAAAGUCAUUGUAUUUCAUUAGGUUAUAUCGCCCAACUCUUAGGGAAAGAGGCACUUUUCUGACUAUCUCUCUACUUACUCCUGUGGAAUAUACCCAAUUGCUAUUACUGGUAUGUGGCUUUCAAGAAGUUCUAUGAAACAGCAGCCCUCCAAUGUCAUUUUCUCUAUAAUUGAGGACUCACCGAGUGUGCAAAGCUGACGGCAGAGCAGGGAUACCUAGAAGCUGCCACUUGAACUAUUGGGGACAUUCACAUCCUUUGAGGGGGAGAGGUCCUACCGGUUUUAUACUGUUGGAGAAUGUCAAUUGUCCCCAGCAUUCGAUCACACAAAUGCUUUUAGAUUCUAACUCCUAAGCUUCUCUUCCCUACUGACCAAACCCAUUGCACAGUCCUUUGUUAAAAGAUAUGGAGGCAUAUUAAAAUUUUAGAAAUUCAUUUGAGCAAAAAUCCAUUUGAAUUGGUCGUCAUCAAGUGGAAGUGGUUAGAAGCACUCCAUAGAUGGGAGCUGGGGAAAAGCUUUUAUAGAGGAAAGGUGGG